AGAACAGAUUUUUCUCAUCUAACCCUAAUUGAGACAGGCGUAGGCGCUGUGCUUUUGGUUACCGCGCGCUGUUUUUCUCGCUGACUUUCAGCGGGCGGAAAAGCCUCGGCCUACCGCCAUUAAAAAAAAAAAAAAAGAAACAGAAAACAAAAAGAUAUUUGUAAUAGCUGCUUCU
rnacentral:sRNA from 1 species